UUGUCUCCUCAUGUAUGGGACUAUACAAAUCAAAAUUGAAGAGUCAUCCUUGACACUCCUUUCUCCUUAACCACCGUGUCAUAUCUACUCUGGAGGAAAGUGGAGCAAGAUGGCUGAAGAGAAACCCUACUGAUCAUCCUCCCCACAGGAACACCAACUUGAACAACUAUGCACACAAAAAAGCACCUUCAUAAGAACCAAAAAUCAGGAAUGGUUUUGCCCUAAAGUUUACUUUGUCUGAUAUUAGUCCAGCUACACCAGAUUUCUUGUGAAUAUCUCAAAUAGUGGUUACUUCUACUGGCUGGUUUUUGCAAUGAAGACAAUAUAUGGUGAAGAACUAAAGCCAACUCAGAGCUACUGUGGUCAACAUAAAAUAGGCACUGUGAUCAACCAGCCAACACUAAAGAUUUCUGGGAGCCAGACUCUUCUAAUCACUGCUUUGACUCUGCUGGCAAUUAUGGAGCUGGCUAAGCAGUCUCUGUAUGGCUGUUUUCUCACACAUGAUGCUGAGGCUUCAAGAUCACAGGGAUGGCAGUCAGAAAAGGAAAAACACAAGCAGGCUGGAACCAACAAGCUUAAGCUGGAACUCCGUGGAGAAGGACUAAAACCUGUGUUCAUUCUUGUUGCCUCUAACCUUGGUAAUGAGGGUAUCCAGCAGAAGUGGGGCCCUUUGUCACAAAGUGAAACACACACCCCUGGUCUAGGAGUCUGAGAAGCUGAAAGAAUAUCAGCGGCAGGUAGAGCAGCCACAGAAUCAGAUGCUGCUUCACACCAGUAGGGUGAAUCUACAGAUCAGCAACAAUAUGUGUGAGCCACAAAAUGGCCACUGCUUCUCUUUCAGCCUCUAAAUGUCUCAAGAAUCUUCCCUAUGUCUUACCUCAACUCAAAACAAACAAGAGAAAAAAUUCUGGGAAAUGCAAUUCAGCCUAGACAAGGUGACAUAUGAGAAAGCCAUUACAAGAUAGUUUGCUCAAAGUAGGAUCCAAAUUAUGUCCAUACUCAAAUGAAAAUAUUAUCCAAGCUGGGAGAAUGUGUGGUUCCAAAGACUGACUACAAAAUAAAUUAUGAGCUUAAAUGGAUUAAAAUCAUAUUAAAUAUGUAGAAACUUCAAAACUCCACAAAUCCAAAGUAUGUCAUGUACGGAUAGAAAUUUUUUCUUCACUGAUGAGAUAGAAAAAGAAUUUGUCUGGCACAAUGUAUGACCCUUUGUCUAUUCAAAAAUGAUCACAGCUAAUGCAAAACAUUUAACAGAAAGAUAAAUUUAAUGUUAACAAGCACAUUUGAUAAUUGUCCCAGGAAAGAUUAUAGGUAACUGGAUGGAAGUAUUUUUCAAGUAAUCUAGGAUAGUCAACAUUUUAAAUGCACCACAGAGACAUUUAUCUCAGCAAUUCAGCAAAGCAGCAUCAACUCUUGAGCCAGAAUAAAAGCUUUCAGCUUCUCUUUUGAGAAGAUUCUGAGCAUUUACUUCAUUUAUAGUAAGGCUCUCUCAAAUUUUUCUCUAAGAUUUCCCAGAACCUUUCUGAGGCUUCAUGCAAUUUAUAUAAGUCACUUAACAAGCACUUGUUGAGCUGUUACCAUGUGUCUGGCACUCUUCUAGGUGCUCUCUAUAGACAAAGAAUAAAAUAGACAAUCUAUU
rnacentral:lncRNA from 1 species